rnacentral:rRNA from 1 species
UACGUAGGGUGCGAGCGUUGUCCGGAAUUAUUGGGCGUAAAGCGCACGUAGGCGGUCCGCUAUGUCGGGUGUGAAAGCCCUCGGCUUAACCGAGGAAGUGCAUUCGAAACUGGCGGACUUGAGUACCGGAGAGGGUCGCGGAAUUCCCCAAGUAGAGGUGAAAUUCGUAGAUAUGGGGGAGGAACACCGGUGGCGAAGGCGGCCACCUGGACGGUAACUGGACGCUGAGACGCGAAAGCGUGGGGAGCAAACAGG